rnacentral:rRNA from 1 species
UACAGAGGUCUCAAGCGUUGUUCGGAUUCAUUGGGCGUAAAGGGUGCGUAGGCGGCGCGGUAAGUCGGGUGUGAAAUCUCGGAGCUUAACUCCGAAACUGCAUUCGAUACUGCCGUGCUUGAGGACUGGAGAGGAGACUGGAAUUUACGGUGUAGCGGUGAAAUGCGUAGAUAUCGUAAGGAAGACCAGUGGCGAAGGCGGGUCUCUGGACAGUUACUGACGCUGAGGCGCGAAGGUCAGGGGAGCAAACGGG